rnacentral:rRNA from 1 species
UGGGGAAUAUUGGACAAUGGGCGCAAGCCUGAUCCAGCCAUACCGCGUGGGUGAAGAAGGCCUUCGGGUUGUAAAGCCCUUUUGUUGGGAAAGAAAAGCAGCCGGCUAAUACCCGGUUGUUCUGACGGUACCCAAAGAAUAAGCACCGGCUAACUUCGUGCCAGCAGCCGCGGUAAUACGAAGGGUGCAAGCGUUACUCGGAAUUACUGGGCGUAAAGCGUGCGUAGGUGGUUGUUUAAGUCUGUCGUGAAAGCCCUGGGCUCAACCUGGGAACUGCGAUGGAAACUGGGCGACUAGAGUGUGGUAGAGGGUAGCGGAAUUCCUGGUGUAGCAGUGAAAUGCGUAGAUAUCAGGAGGAACAUCCAUGGCGAAGGCAGCUACCUGGGCCAACACUGACACUGAGGCACGAAAGCGUGGGGAGCAAACAGGA